rnacentral:rRNA from 1 species
UGCCUCAGUAACGGCGAGUGAAGCGGCAACAGCUCAGAUUUGGAAUCUGGCCCCCGCUCGGGGGUCCGAGUUGUAGUCUGUAGAGGAUGCUUCGGGGGUGGACCGGGCCCAAGUUCCUUGGAACAGGGCGUCGGAGAGGGUGAGAGUCCAGUCUGUGGCCUGGUCCUUCCCCCCGGGUGAAGCUCCCUCGACGAGUCGAGUUGUUUGGGAAUGCAGCUCCAACCGGGUGGUAAAUCUCAUCUAAAGCUAAAUACCGGCCAGAGACCGAUAGCGCACAAGUAGAGUGAUCGAAAGAUGAAAAGCACUUUGGAAAGAGGGUUAAACAGCACGUGAAAUUGUUGAAAGGGAAGCGCUUGCGAUCAGACUUGCCCGUGGCCCUUCAGCCGGUGGAUUCUCGCCGGCGCAAUGGGCCGUGGGCAGGCCAGCAUCGGCUCGGGCGGCGGGAGGAAGACCCUGGGAAUGUGGCUCCCUUCGGGGUGCGUUAUAGCCCGAGGUGUCACGCCGCCGCCCGGACCGAGGCCCGCGCUCCGGCAAGGAUGCUGGCGUAAUGGUCGUCAGCGACCCGUCUUGAAACACGGACCAAGGAGUCUAACAUCCACGCGAGUGUUUGGGUGUCAAACCCGGCGCGCAAUGAAAGUGAACGGAGGUGGGAGCCCGUAGGGGUGCACCAUCCACCGAUCCUGAAGUCUUCUGAUGGAUUUGAGUACCAGCGUGGCUGUUGGGACCCGAAAGAUGGUGAACUAUGCCUGAAUAGGGUGAAACCAGAGGAAACUCUGGUGGAGGCUCGCACCGGUUCUGACGUGCAAAUCGAUCGUCAAAUUUGGGUAUAGGGGCGAAAGACUAAUCGAACCAUCGCCGCUAGGUGGUCCAGAGGCGGGCACGUGCCCCGUCUAGUCCCCCGCUCACGGGGCGACACUGUCAAAUUGCGGGGACACCCUUAGAGCUCGGCCGACGCCGGGCCGGCCGCGAGGUUGGCCCGUGCGCGGCCCCCCACUGGGGGCCGCGGCACCCGGACGCGGGGUCGAGAUUGGGCGAUCCGCAGCCAACCCCCACCGGCGAUUGGCGCCACGGGGAGAGGUUCACAGACUAGAUGGCAGUGGGUUUGGCCCUCCUCACCCCUUCUUUAAGGGGGGGGGGGGGGUGCCGGCCUAAGGUAUAGUCGGACCGCCGGGAGACCGGCCGAGGAGGCGUGAGGUGCGCGGUGUUGAGCGUCCCCGCGGCGCGUGCGCGCGCGGGGACCGCCGCGGGUCUCGCGCUUCCUCGGGGGGUGUGCCGCUCGUGGAGGGCGCGACGCCCCUGGAGUCGUCGCUAGUAGCUGGUUCCUGCCGAAGUUUCCCUCAGGAUAGCAGUAACGCGUGGCAGUUUUAUGAGGUAAAGCGAAUGAUUAGAGGCCUUGGGGUUGAAACAACCUUAACCUAUUCUCAAACUUUGAAUAUGUAAGAAGUCCUUGUUGCUUGGUUGAACGUGGACAUUCGAAUGUACCGUUACUAGUGGGCCAUUUUUGGUAAGCAGAACUGGCGAUGCGGGAUGAACCGAACGCGGGGUUAAGGUGCCGGAAUGCACGCUCAUCAGACACCACAAAAGGUGUUGGUUCAUCUAGACAGCAGGACGGUGGCCAUGGAAGUCGGAACCCGCUAAGGAGUGUGUAACAACUCACCUGCCGAAUGAACUAGCCCUGAAAAUGGAUGGCGCUCAAGCGUGCUACCCAUACCCCGCCGCCAGGGUAGGAACGAUGCCCUGGCGAGUAGGCAGGCGUGGGGGUCCGUGACGAAGCCUCGGGAGCGAUCCCGGGUCGAACGGCCCCUAGUGCAGAUCUUGGUGGUAGUA